AAACACAUACAUAAUCAUUCCACAGCACUGAGGCAUGCGGGGCUUUCUCCAGGCCCUUCCGGACUCUUCCAGAAUUGCUCAUUAAGAUUCUGAAAGGGGGAGGGGGUGCAGCUUGGAAAAGGUUGCCGGAAGGGAAGAGAAAGGGAGGAGGGGAGCUUUGCCCUCUGUGUCUUUCUGUCUCUGAGACUCUCCCAUCACCAAACAAGGGGUGCAGGGGUCUAUCCUGCAGAGGCUCUAACAGACUUGAGGGGUAGAAAGAGGUAGAUGGUUUAAAAUAGUUAAAUGAUGAUCCGGUGACCUCCGUGCAACUUCAGCGACUCCCUCGGGAAGGUGAAAGGGUUGGGGAGAGAGAAGGGAGGGAAAGAAGCGUAGAGGACAGGAGGGAGACACCUAGGACUACAGCAGCAGCAAUCACCAGAAGGAUUUUCCAGCCCAUGACAGCAGUCCUCAACUCCUGGCACCACCCUCUCCCCAACGACCCCUGCUCCGUAUCCCCUCACCCUAACCCCUCCCGUCCCAGCGCCCUAACUCUGCCCUCACUCUUUGCCACUUUACCAAGCACUGAAGUCUCUAUCCAGGAAGGGGGAUGGGAGGGGUGUUUAAAGAACAAAUCUAAUUGCAAUUAGAAUUUAUCUGGGUCUCCAGCACACACGCUGACAGUUUUGCAGUCAUGGUAAGGCAAGUCUACAAGAGGUGGGCAGUACUUAUGGUUGUGUUAUUGAGGGAGGGGUUGCUUUUUUUUUUUUUUUCCAAGAGACUCUAAGCAAGUGAAGGGGGAAGGGGGUAGCAAUCUAGAUUUCAACCAGGACUGCAAAUAAAGAAUGCCCCAGAUGCAAAUGUCUGUCUCCAGAUGUUGAUGAUAAGGAUUUGGACCAGUUACCUUGGCAGGGUCAGAACUGCAGCAGGUUAAUCAGCGUCGGUCCGCACUCCCUGUGACCCAGGACGUCAUGAUGCCUGUCUGUUUUCUCAAUGAUAACUUGGCAGAAGAAGAGAGAGGCUGCCAGGUUCUCCUCGGGUGGUUACGUGGCCCAGACAGAGAAUCGGCACCAAGACAGCGAGGAGCAUCCACCCAGGGCCAGACACUCAUGUUCGCGGCUCGCACUUGCUGACUUGCAUCUCUCAGUUGCAUUCCCGGUGUGUAGGCCUCUCACAACUGGAGCUAUUUUUGUUUCCCAGAGAUGUUCUUUAAAGCCUUUUAAAAAUGGGGAGGGGGCAGGGAAGAAAGAGCGAGAGACAAAUAGAGAGAAAGAGACCCAGAGAGAAGCCCAAACCCCUAGUUGAGAAACUCAGCUGACACAUCAUAAAAUCUAGGGGGCUCCGGGCAUCUGGCCCACCAGGCGAGUCUGGAAGGGCAGGAAGGAUAACUAGGUUUUGUUUAACUCAUUCUACAACAGCAGGAAAACUUUUUUUUUUCAAUACAAAGAUGUUAUUGCUAAUUAUUCACUGUAUUUGUCAUUUAUAUAAUUAUGCUCAGAAUCAGCAGGAGUGGUCUCAAGAAUAAUCCUUAACGUUUAUUUCUGAAAAUAUGAGAAUGCAUUUUUAGAUGGUGUGGCCACAUGACAGGUAAAGCACAGAUUGCUUCUUUUUCUAAUGUUUACUUUGUGUUAUUUGUACAUUGUCUGGGACGUUUUAUGUAGCUUCUCUUAAUCAUAAUGUGUAUAUUACCCAACAUGUGGCAUAUUCCUGAUAAAUAAAUAUCUAGCACCAGGUUUGGCAAAUGCUUUGCUCUGCUUUAUCAAUAAUUAUCCA
rnacentral:lncRNA from 1 species